rnacentral:rRNA from 1 species
CCCUUAGAUGUUCUGGGCCGCACGCGCGCUACACUGUUCGACGCAGCGAGUCUUAACCUUGACCGAAAGGUUUGGGUAAUCUUCAGCAAAGUCGAACGUGAUGGGGAUCGAUCAUUGCAAUUAUUGAUCGUGAACGAGGAAUUCCUAGUAAGUGCAAGUCAUUAGCUUGCGCUGAUUACGUCCCUGCCCUUUGUACACACCGCCCGUCGCUACUACCGAUUGAAUGGUUUAGUGAGAUCUCUGGAUUGACGCUGGCUAGGGGGCGACCCUUGGCCAGACUGUUGAGAAACUGCUCAAACUUGAUCAUUUAGAGGAAGUAAAAGUCGUAACA